UACGAAGGGGCUAGCGUUGCUCGGAAUCACUGGGCGUAAAGCGCACGUAGGCGGAUCGUUAAGUCAGGGGUGAAAUCCUGGAGCUCAACUCCAGAACUGCCCUUGAUACUGGCGACCUUGAGUUCGGGAGAGGUGAGUGGAACUGCGAGUGUAGAGGUGAAAUUCGUAGAUAUUCGCAAGAACACCAGUGGCGAAGGCGGCUCACUGGCCCGAUACUGACGCUGAGGUGCGAAAGCGUGGGGAGCAAACAGG
rnacentral:rRNA from 1 species